rnacentral:rRNA from 1 species
AUUGAACGCUGGCGGCAGGCCUAACACAUGCAAGUCGAGCGGAUGAAGGGAGCUUGCUCCUGGAUUCAGCGGCGGACGGGUGAGUAAUGCCUAGGAAUCUGCCUGGUAGUGGGGGAUAACGUCCGGAAACGGGCGCUAAUACCGCAUACGUCCUGAGGGCGAAAGGGGGGGAUCUUCGGACCUCACGCUAUCAGAUGAGCCUAGGUCGGGUUAGCUAGUUGGUGGGGUAAAGGCCUACCAAGGCGACGAUCCGUAACUGGUCUGAGAGGAUGAUCAGUCACACCGGGACUGAGACAAGGGCCAGAAUCCUAAGGGAGGGAGGAGGGGGGAAUAUUGGGCAAUGGGGGGAAGGCUGAUCCAGCCAUGCCGCGUGUGUGAAGAAGGUCUUCGGAUUGUAAAGCACUUUAAGUUGGGAGGAAGGGCAGUAAGUUAAUACCUUGCUGUUUUGACGUUACCAACAGAAUAAGCACCGGCUAACUUCGUG